UAGAGUUUGAUCCUGGCUCAGAUUGAACGCUGGCGGCAUGCCUUACACAUGCAAGUCGAACGGUAACAGGUCUUCGGACGCUGACGAGUGGCGAACGGGUGAGUAAUACAUCGGAACGUGCCCAGUCGUGGGGGAUAACUACUCGAAAGAGUAGCUAAUACCGCAUACGAUCUGAGGAUGAAAGCGGGGGACCUUCGGGCCUCGCGCGAUUGGAGCGGCCGAUGGCAGAUUAGGUAGUUGGUGGGAUAAAAGCUUACCAAGCCGACGAUCUGUAGCUGGUCUGAGAGGACGACCAGCCACACUGGGACUGAGACACGGCCCAGACUCCUACGGGAGGCAGCAGUGGGGAAUUUUGGACAAUGGGCGAAAGCCUGAUCCAGCAAUGCCGCGUGCAGGAUGAAGGCCUUCGGGUUGUAAACUGCUUUUGUACGGAACGAAAAAGCUCCUUCUAAUACAGGGGGCCCAUGACGGUACCGUAAGAAUAAGCACCGGCUAACUACGUGCCAGCAGCCGCGGUAAUACGUAGGGUGCGAGCGUUAAUCGGAAUUACUGGGCGUAAAGCGUGCGCAGGCGGGUAUGUAGGACAGAUGUG
rnacentral:rRNA from 1 species